GACGAACGCUGGCGGCGUGCUUAACACAUGCAAGUCGAACGGAAAGGCCCUGCUUUUGUGGGGUGCUCGAGUGGCUAACGGGUGAGUAACACGUGAGUAACCUGCCCUUGACUUUGGGAUAACUUCAGGAAACUGGGGCUAAUACCGGAUAGGAGCUCCUGCUGCAUGGUGGGGGUUGGAAAGUUUCGGCGGUUGAGGAUGGACUCGCGGCUUAUCAGCUUGUUGGUGGGGUAGUGGCUUACCAAGGCUUUGACGGGUAGCCGGCCUGAGAGGGUGACCGGCCACAUUGGGACUGAGAUACGGCCCAGACUCCUACGGGAGGCAGCAGUGGGGAAUAUUGCACAAUGGGCGGAAGCCUGAUGCAGCAACGCCGCGUGCGGGAUGACGGCCUUCGGGUUGUAAACCGCUUUCGCCUGUGACGAAGCGUGAGUGACGGUAAUGGGUAAAGAAGCACCGGCUAACUACGUG
rnacentral:rRNA from 1 species